rnacentral:rRNA from 1 species
UGGGGAAUAUUGCACAAUGGGCGCAAGCCUGAUGCAGCCAUGCCGCGUGUGUGAAGAAGGCCUUCGGGUUGUAAAGCACUUUCAGCGGGGAGGAAGGCGUUAAGGUUAAUAACCUUGGCGAUUGACGUUACCCGCAGAAGAAGCACCGGCUAACUCCGUGCCAGCAGCCGCGGUAAUACGGCGGGUGCAAGCGUUAAUCGGAAUUACUGGGCGUAAAGCGAACGCAGGCGGUCUGUCAAGUCGGAUGUGAAAUCCCCGGGCUAAACCUGGGAACUGCAUUCGAAACUGGCAGGCUAGAGUCUUGUAGAGGGGGGUAGAAUUCCAGGUGUAGCGGUGAAAUGCGUAGAGAUCUGGAGGAAUACCGGUGGCGAAGGCGGCCCCCUGGACAAAGACUGACGCUCAGGUGCGAAAGCGUGGGGAGCAAACAGG